GCAAGUCGAGCGGAGAUGAGGUGCUUGCACCUUAUCUUAGCGGCGGAGGGUGAGUAAUGCUUAGGAAUCUGCCUAUUAGUGGGGGACAACAUUCCGAAAGGAAUGCUAAUACCGCAUACGUCCUACGGGAGAAAGCAGGGGAUCUUCGGACCUUGCGCUAAUAGAUGAGCCUAAGUCGGAUUAGCUAGUUGGUGGGGUAAAGGCCUACCAAGGCGACGAUCUGUAGCGGGUCUGAGAGGAUGAUCCGCCACACUGGGACUGAGACACGGCCCAGACUCCUACGGGAGGCAGCAGUGGGGAAUAUUGGACAAUGGGGGGAACCCUGAUCCAGCCAUGCCGCGUGUGUGAAGAAGGCCUUAUGGUUGUAAAGCACUUUAAGCGAGGAGGAGGCUACUGAGACUAAUACUCUUGGAUAGUGGACGUUACUCGCAGAAUAAGCACCGGCUAACUCUGUGCCAGCAGCCGCGGUAAUACAGAGGGUGCGAGCGUUAAUCGGAUUUACUGGGCGUAAAGCGUGCGUAGGCGGCUUUUUAAGUCGGAUGUGAAAUCCCCGAGCUUAACUUGGGAAUUGCAUUCGAUACUGGGAAGCUAGAGUAUGGGAGAGGAUG
rnacentral:rRNA from 1 species